CCUAUGAAUUCUGACUCUCUGGCCAUUUCCCCCAUAUAUAAGGGCGUGGCAUUGUUCCGCGAAUGGCCAGAGGGAUAUUAGCCCUUUCCUGUACAUAAAGGAAGCAGUCCCUUUGCUUGGGCUGCAAUUGCUAGCUUUAGUGAAUACUUGAAUCGCUGAGUUUCUCUUUUUGUUUUAAAAUCUAACCCUAUUUUUAAAAUCUACUCCUUACCCUUCCCUUCCCUUAUUCAAAUGGUAAUUUAGCCCAAAGAUUCAACAUUUUCAAUAGUAUAAAAGGUUUGCUGAGACAUGAACUCUGCACAUGCACAGAGGCUAGAUCAGCUAAACAAAAAAAAGGGGGGGAGGAAAGAGAGAGAGAGAGAGGAAGGAGGGGAACUGUAGGGGGGAGAGGAGGUUUCGAGAGCUUGGGCUGCAGGGAGAAACUUAUCCAAAUUUCCUUAUGUGAAACUUGGAACGAUUGAGGGAAAUCACCCUUAAUGUGUCCUUUGCUCCAGGGGCUACGUAAGACAAAAGGGUUAAGUACUAGCCCAUCAAAAGUCAAGAGGUUUCCAGGUUUCAAAUCUUAACAUGCCAAAUUCUUUUCACAGGUAAAUAUCAAAGCGCUCCCACUGUGAGUUCCACUCUUGACUAGUUCUCCCACCCCCAAUGGGAUUUAACUUUUAUAACAGGCUUUGUGUGCAUUAUAGGAACAGCAUUCCUGACAGAGAUUUUCAAAGGAAAUAAAAAAAUAAAAAAAUAAAAUUCCCUUUAAAACAGGAUACGUGAACUCGGACCCACAUAAGCAAAAUGUUUAAUAACUUGCCGAUUGUGUUCAAAUUAACAAAGGUUUUGUCCCUUCGUUUCUUCCACAGCCAAACUAAGUGAAGGAAAGCAAACAAACUUGGCAGAUAAUAACAGUAAUUAUCUGGAAAUGUGAUAAUAAUAUUGGAAUGAAUGAAAUGCUUAAUCUGCUAAGAUUUUUAUUAUUUGCAGCUUCCAACGGAAACUGAAGGACAUCCUUUUUGCCUUUUGCCCCUUCCCUUUUCUAACUCUGUCUUUUAAGUCCCCAAACCCUGCCCCUUACAGGAUAUCACUUCUACAGAUGUGUUACUACAGAUCCAAUGAAAAGCUUCGCCACCACAAGACUAUUACCUGCAGCAGCAACAACAACAGACACCAAAGUUUUCAAAGUGGCCACAGCAAUUUCUUUCAAAGGGGAAGUGCGGCUGACAAAGGGGGGGUGGAGUUGAAUUGCAAGGACAUCUUCUCACUUUUGAACCUCAAGUCUGUGCUCCAGGAUUCAAAAGAUACAUACAUAAAAUAUCCCAAUUGUCUCAAGAUAUGCAACUGAUAUUUAAUUAGUUUGUUUUGUAUUAUGUGUUAUUACGUAGGAAUGUUGAAAUGUGUCUGACAGUGUGUUAUUUCCACAAAUCGGGGGCUAUUUUGUGUGUAAUUGUUUUUAUGUUUAAUGUCUUAUUCCUUACACCCCAGUGGAGGAUUCUCAUACAUUUUAUGCGUUCUAAUAGGUCAGGCUAUUGUGUAGUCAAAUGUUUAGGAUUAGAUAAAUUUAUAACCACAUUUUGUUGUUUCACCUGGCACUCUGCCAACUUCCCUACCCAUUUUAAAUGUGCUAAAACUCACUUUACCAAGGAGAAGCUUCAGGAAGGUGUAUAUGCUUUGGUUUAGCAGGAAUAAUCCCUUAUAGAGUUAAAUUGACUUAUUUGGAUGGUUUUGUUUUAACAGAAAAGUUGAGAACCAUGGGGCAAGAAAAAUUCAAAUUGGACUCAGUUUGAAUUGGGCAAGUGUAUCCAGGCUGCAAUUAGCUCUUGGUCCUUAAAGUGCAAGUGAGCAACUUCCCAUGACUGCAAGACCAGAGCCUAUAAUAAUAAAAUCCCAUAGAAUGGCCAAGGCAAAGACAUUUCUCUCAUGAUGUGUCCAAACCUGUGCCAGCUGUGGUGAGUGCCAGGCAACAUGGUUAACAUGAAAGCCCUAAGUGGAUUCACCAGGGAUUGCCACUACUGUGACACCAUGCCGAUGUGAGACCACAGAAGAGCUACCUUGACACCUGAGAACACAAAAAUGGCGGGGGACAAAACAAACUGCAUUUUUCAGUCAUUAGUGGACCUUCCUGCUAAAUGUAAAGCAUAGACCACUACUGAGAAAAUAUUUCUUCCAAGGUGCUAAAAUACCACAAGUAAUUGAGCAACAAAAUAUUAAUUUUACGUGAUAUCCUAUGUCUAACUAUGUGCACUGUUACACUGUUAUAUUUCUAUGCAAAUAUCCUUAAGAAGCAUGACAUCCAAGUUCCUUUCAGGUUCACAUGGACACACGCAUCUGGGACGGAGAAUAGCAGGUUAAUAUUUACCACCUUAAAUUGUGCGGAGAAAAGGAUUGCAAAGUAGCCACCUUUGCAAUCUUAUCUCCGAAGGGGGGAACUGUAGCAGGAACCCCCCACCCCAAUCAUUGAGUUUGUACAAACUUCACGCACUCACACUCACACACUACAUAUGCCACACUUCUGUUAUAAAUUCAUAGAAAAAUCAACCAUAUAUCGGAUUUGCACUGUUCCAUUUUUAUUUUACUCCAUAUGACAAGGACUAUCAAAGGGGGGUGGCUUGGUUCUGGUCAGCCAUAAUCCCUUCACCAUCCCAGCACAUCCACAGGAGCCCUGCCCAGUUGCUAUGCCAACCCUGAUGGUCCUAGACAGAAGACCAUCAAGAUCACAAAGAACUUGCAUAUGGGAGUGGAUUCAGCAUGGACUGAAACAAAGGACAAUGAUCAGAUCUUCCCUCUGGGGGCAGGAAACUGCCAACUCCCCUUUGUCUCCUGGAAGUGACUCAUGGGCAGGGGGAAGGAGGAACCAGCCAGGUGACAGGACACUCAGGUUACCACCUCAACCCCUCCUUUCUGUAAUGUAUGCAUGAUGUCAACCCCUCCUUUCUGUAAUGUAUGCAUGAUGUUUCUGGGGGUGGGCUUGACCUAGAGGAUGGGAAUUUCAAAAGUUUUUAUAAGGUCUUGCACACCAUCUUUCUGGGUCUUUCCUCUCUCUUGCAAGUGAGGGGAACACCCUGUUGCAACAGUUCAAUAAAGGCCAAGCCUACAGGCUGCUGUUUUGCUCC